AGUGAACGCUGGCGGUAGGCCUAACACAUGCAAGUCGAACGGCAGCACAGUAAGAGCUUGCUCUUACGGGUGGCGAGUGGCGGACGGGUGAGGAAUACAUCGGAAUCUACUUUUUCGUGGGGGAUAACGUAGGGAAACUUACGCUAAUACCGCAUACGACCUACGGGUGAAAGCAGGGGAUCUUCGGACCUUGCGCGAUUGAAUGAGCCGAUGUCGGAUUAGCUAGUUGGCGGGGUAAAGGCCCACCAAGGCGACGAUCCGUAGCUGGUCUGAGAGGAUGGACAGCCCAACUGGAAAUGAGGACAGGUCCAGACUCCCAAGGGAGGCAGCAGUGGGGAAUAUUGGGACAUGGGCGGAAACCUGAUCCAGGCCUACCGGGGGGGUGGAGAAGGCCUUCGGGUUGUAAAGGCCUUUUGUUGGGAAAAAAAAGCAGCAGGUUAAAACCCCGCUGUUCUGACGGUACCCAAAGAAAAAAGACCGGCUUAAUUCGGG
rnacentral:rRNA from 1 species